UACAGAGGUCUCAAGCGUUGUUCGGAUUCAUUGGGCGUAAAGGGUGCGUAGGCGGCGCGGUAAGUCGGGUGUGGAAAUCUCGGAGCUUAACUCCGAAACUGCAUUCGAUACUGCCGUGCUUGAGGACUGGAGAGGAGACUGGAAUUUACGGUGUAGCGGUGAAAUGCGUAGAUAUCGUAAGGAAGACCAGUGGCGAAGGCGGGUCUCUGGACAGUUCCUGA
rnacentral:rRNA from 1 species